rnacentral:lncRNA from 1 species
CUGUAUUUUAAACGAUAUCUAGAUUGGGAGACUUGGCCAAUUAAACUUUCCUGAUCAUUUUUGUUCAGAGUUCCAUGGGCAGAUGCACUCAGGCUUUCUUCAUCAAUAAGGGCGCGUUCUUCACACAGCUAUGGAAACUGCAGAUGCAAAAAACACAAGAGAAGAUGGGAAAGAAGAACAUAAAAUCACUCUUGCUCGCCAGCAAAUUCUGUCCUCGACUUUCUUAG